AAUGAGAAAGAAGUUCAAAAUCCAUAUAGUGGUAACUAGAAACGUUCAAUGAGAGCAGUUGCAACAUAAUCCUGAAAAAGAUAAAGAAAACAAUUGUCAAAACAAAAUAUAAAAGUAGGGAAUCUAUACUUAAGUUUUAAACUAGUAGUCAGAUCACGAUCACAAACCUUAUAUUGCUACAUCACAUGUUACUCGAUUAUGACCUUUUUUACCACAACGGCCGCACUUGUGCUUUUUUGAUAAUUGUGACUGUUGUGAUGCUUUUAUCUUGUCUUCAGCUGAUUCAUAUCUUCGUUUUCUUC
rnacentral:lncRNA from 1 species